rnacentral:rRNA from 1 species
AAUUGGAGGGCAAGUCUGGUGCCAGCAGCCGCGGUAAUUCCAGCUCCAAUAGCGUAUAUUAAAGUUGUUGCAGUUAAAAAGCUCGUAGUUGAAUUUCGGGAUUGACAUGAUGGUCGUGCCUUAAGGGGUAUGAACUGUUGCUGUUGAUUUCUCACCUUCUGGAGAAACUUGAUGUCCUUAAUUGGGUGCCUUGCGGAUCCAGGACCUUUACCUUGAAAAAAUUAGAGUGUUUAAAGCAGGCAUUUUGCUCGAAUACAUUAGCAUGGAAUAAUAGAAUAGGACGGCAUGGUUCUAUUUUGUUGGUUUCUAGGAUCACCGUAAUGAUUAAUAGGGAUAGUUGGGGGCAUUAGUAUUCAAUUGUCAGAGGUGAAAUUCUUGGAUUUAUUGAAGACUAACUACUGCGAAAGCAUUUGCCAAGGAUGUUUUCAUUAAUCAAGAACGAAAGUUAGGGGAUCGAAGACGAUCAGAUACCGUCGUAGUCUUAACCAUAGACUAUGCCGACUAGGAAUCAGACGAUGUUAAUUUUUUAAUGACUCGUUUGGCACCUUACGGGAAACCAAAGUGU